rnacentral:misc_RNA from 1 species
GAUGAAGAACGCAGCGAAAUGCGAUAAGUAAUGUGAAUUGCAGAAUUCAGUGAAUCAUCGAAUCUUUGAACGCACAUUGCGCCCGGCAGUACUCUGCCGGGCAUGCCUGUUCGAGCGUCAUUUCAACCCUCAAGCCCUGCUUGGUGUUGGGGCCCUACGGCUGCCGUAGGCCCUGAAAGGAAGUGGCGGGCUCGCUACAACUCCGAGCGUAGUAAUUCAUUAUCUCGCUUAGGGCGUUGGGCGGCGCUCCAGCCGUUAAAGGACCAUCUUUAACUCAAGGUUGACCUCGGAUCAGGUAGGAAUACCCGCUGAACUUAAGCAUAUCAAUAAGCGGAGGA